UUAAAUCACCUUAAUAUUCACCAAAGAGUCCAGAAAUCAUUUGGAUUUAUACAGCUCCUCCACCUCUUCAGGACAGUUUGACACUGUUUGUGUUUUUUUAUAUCUCUAACAAUUUUCUGACUCAAAGAUGGACGAACCAUUUGAGAAGAGAGAAAAUGCAUGUGAGGAUCAUGAGAUGGACACGGAGGCCAGCGACCUGCUCAACGACCUGCAAGGUUCGCUCAACAACGUUCU